GAGCCACCGCGCCCGGCUGCAUGACAUAUAUUUUAGUUUUUGAAAAAUAUUUUAGCAAAAGUCACUUUAGUGAGGCCUUACUUAACUGCACAGUCUAAAAAUAGAACUUCUCCACCACUUCAUUGCUUUUGGUUUUUCCUCACACUCUGUACAUGUGAUUGUGCUGGUCAUCUCCUUCACUAGCAAAUCAGCUCACCAAGUUGGGGCUUUGUCUAUUUACCGUUGUGUUCCCAGUGGACACUCGAUGUUAAGAUUCAACGAAUGAAUGCCUGGACGAGUGGUAUCUGGGCUCACAGGUAACCUCACAGCCCACCGGGAGGACACUGCCAGAGCUGCUCUGCACUGCGAGUCCCGGGCCUUCCCAUUGGACGCUAAGGCACUCGUUAACUGCUGUGUAAACGCAGCCUGACUUCCCUCACCUCAGGCGAGGCCCGCAUCAGGCCCCUCUGACCUAGGACCUCCCGAUCCGGCCGUUAUCGCCAACCGUAUCUGUGUGGUUUCGUGGAGGAAGCGCGGUGGACCUUGAGGGGAGGGUACGCGCAGGCACAAUAAAGCAGAAAGCCGCUAUAAUAAUGAUGAUAAUGAAGAAAAACAAAAGCAUCCAUUCGUCACUUAGUGGCAAGCGUUUUUCCAACUACUUUCCGAGUAGUAACUGCUUGCCAGAGUUUCCCCAGCUUGGGCCGGAAGGUGAGGCGGUAGCUCGAGCUUUGCCUUUCUCAGGCAUUGUCCUGCGUUUGCGGGGCCAGGCGCUGGCACACGGUCACUAACCCCUGGUCGUUAGCUUCGAUUCCCGGCCUGGGAGAGCGCUAUCGGCCACUCCUGGCUGCAUUGCAGUCGCGGCUUUCUCCAGAGCUCCGCCGGGAACGGGAAGCGCUGAAACGUCGCGACCAGUCAGUAGGGUUCCCACGGCCGCAACUCGGGUGUGACGCGGCAGGCUGGCACCAGCGGACACAAGUAUGAGGCUAAGUGAGAAGCGCUCUGCUUCCGAGUGUCAGGAUGGCCGAGUGGUCUAAGGCGCCAGACUCAAGAUCUCCAGGCCAAGGCUGUGUUAUCAUACACUCUACACGAUCAGAC
rnacentral:lncRNA from 10 species